AUAUCACGUUGAAACAACGGUUCCCAUACAAUCACUGAAGUUAAGCAACAUCGAGCCUGGUCACUGCCUAGAUGGGUGACCUCUUGGGAAUACCAAGUGCUGUA